UACGAAGGGGGCUAGCGUUGCUCGGAAUUACUGGGCGUAAAGCGCACGUAGGCGGCUCUUUAAGUCGGGGGUGAAAUCCUGGAGCUCAACUCCAGAACUGCCUUCGAUACCGUAGAGCUUGAGUUCGGGAGAGGUGAGUGGAACUGCGAGUGUAGAGGUGAAAUUCGUAGAUAUUCGCAAGAACACCAGUGGCGAAGGCGGCUCACUGGCCCGAUACUGACGCUGAGGUGCGAAAGCGUGGGGAGCAAACAGG
rnacentral:rRNA from 1 species